CCCUAGCAGCAGCUUCCACCUAACCAAACUCAUCUCUCUCUCAAAACCACUUACUCGUCUUGUCUCUGCUCUCUCUCUCUCUCUCUCUCUCUCUCUCUCUCUCUCUCUCUCUCUAAAUUAGGGUUUUCUUUCCAACACUACCGUCUCUCCUUUUCAACCAAUUUCCUUCUCCCUGAUCCAUCAUCUCGUUUCAAUGCCUGCAAAUUUCACCGCCAAAGUUCCAAUCCCUUCAUUUCUAAACCGAUUUCGGCAAUCGAUUCACUUCAAAUCACUUUAGCGGCCUCCGAUGGCCCCUAGCCGUAGAAAGGGAGGCAGCAAAGCAGCGGCUAUUGCUGCCGCCGCUCGUCAAUGGAAAGUUGGCGAUCUCGUUCUUGCUAAAGUUAAAGGGUUUCCUGCAUGGCCUGCCACGGUCAGUGAGCCGGAGAAGUGGGGUUACUCCACCGAUUGGAAGAAAGUGCUUGUUUACUUUUUUGGAACUCAACAAAUUGCUUUCUGUAAUCCUGCUGAUGUUGAAGCAUUUACUGAGGAGAAAAAACAGUCUCUUGUCAAACGUCAAGGAAAGGGUGCUGACUUUGUUCGUGCUGUUAAGGAGAUUGUUGAUAGUUAUGAGAAAUUAAAAAAAGAGAGACAACUUGGUGAAGCUAACUGUGGCAAUGUUGCUGAUGCAAAUAUUUCAAAUUCUGUUAUUAACUCAGGAGCAUCUGAUAACUCGGUUUCUUGUGAGGUAACAGCUACUUUACCUAUAAAAUCUUCAAAUUCUGUUGUUGACAGACAUGAUUUGGUAUGUCCAGCUGAGGAUGACUCAGCUGAUGUAUUGAAAGACGAAUCUAAUGAUAAGGAGGUGUCAAAGAUGGAACUUAGUGAUAAUGCUCCUUCUGUACAAUCGCCUAAGCCACUUACUUACUCUUCUCGAAAGAGAUCUGCUGGUGACUUAUGCCCACAGGGCUUCAUAACAGAUAGACAUAUGCCAGUACGAAGGAAUAGAAGCACAUCACGGGCCCAAAACUUUUUGUUUCCCUGUAAUGACAGUGGAAAGAAUGCUGGCAGCCAAUUAACCAAUGCAACACAGGGUGCAUCUGUAAGACGGAAUCAACGUCUUAGGAAGUCACCUGAUCUUGCUGGCCGUAAUGAUUUAGAUUCAUCUGCUUCAGUCUUGAAUGGUAGUUUGGAGGACAAAGACAACAGCUCUGAAAUUCUCACAAAUGAUUCUGAUGAAUUUAGCUUGAAUGAGGGUAGUGCAAUGGAUUCAAAUUAUAAGCACACUGAAACUAUUGAAUGCCCUGAAGAAGUUGAGCUGAACAAAGGCCUUGAUCUUAAAAUAAAGGGUGUGGUCAAUAAGAAGAAAAGAAACCCAAAUAGGAAGAGGGCAACCAAUGAUUCUUCCAAGUCAACCAUUAAACUUGAGGAGGAUCUUGGUGUGCGGAAUUCCAGUCAAAGUUCCCAGAAUAUUUGUGGAAAUUCUGAAGAGAAAUGCUUUGAGCAAGAUGGAGAUGAACACUUGCCCCUUGUGAAACGAGCGAGAGUCAGAAUGGGUAAAUCAUCUUCCACAGAGGGAGAACUCAAUAGCAUACCACAUGCUCCAGGGAAAAGCUGUAAGGAAGAUAUUAACUCACCACCGCAGAUGAUAACAUCCUCAAAUUGUGAGAAUGGAAGCUCUGCUGAUGGAGGCUCAUCUGUCCUGAUUGGAACUGUGGAUAAUGUUUCUCCUUCAAAGACUGUUGCUCCAUGUUUUGAAAAUCAGACAGGUAAUACUAAGAGAGAUCAACCAUUUUGCUCCGUGGAUGAUGAAGCUGCUUUACCUCCAUCUAAGCGUCUUCAUCGUGCUUUAGAAGCCAUGUCAGCUAAUGCUGCUGAAGAAGGUCAAGCUCGUAUUGAACCAUCAUCCUCCAGAAUGACAUCAAUUGGUAUAUCGGCUAUCAAGACGAGUCCAGAUAUAACUAUUAAUAAUCAUGAAGGUGGUGGUUUAGAGUUGCAAAAGUCUGAUGCCUGCAAUGGCAAUUCUUCUCAUACCAUUGUGCAUAGUUUGUCAGCCAAUUCAAAUCCAAUGAUUUCAACGGAGAAUGAUUCAUCUAAACAAGUGGAUAAGCUGUCAACCAGAUUCCAAGCACAAGAAACUGGCAAGGUUGUUCUCCCAUGUACUGCAGAUCAUGUUGAAGAACUUGGUGAUUUUGUGGUUUGUCAUACUACUAAUGCAGAUUUGAAAAUUCAGGCGCAUAAGGAAAUUUCUCCAAAUCUUGAUUCAAAAUGUUGUGAAGUUGAAAGCAAUCAAGAUUCACCUCACCUGUCAUUACCACCAAAUAAUGAACACAAUAUUAUAACAAUGAAUCAUUCAAAUACAUCAUCUGAUGCAUCAGAGGACAAUGGAAUAAGCCUUCAUUCUGAAACAGAUGUGGCAAAGAAAGAAAUUAUUUCCCCUCGAAAUAAUAUUGAUCUGCCUCGGAAUGAGGUUGUUAUUUCUGAUGAUACGAAGUGUUUGAAACCAGCAAUUGAUGAUGUUAACAGAGCAAAUGAAAUGGGUGAGGUCGUAAAAGAGGUAGAACGUGAAGUACCAGAGGAGGAUUUGAAUUCUGUUUCAACGUCUGACUGUCCAGGUGAAAAGGUUAUUUCGGGCAUUCGAUCAAGUACAUCCUUGACAGAUGGGGGAGAUUGCAUUCCACAAGGUUCACCUCCAAACACAUCAAUUUGCAAUGUUUCUACAUCAGACAGUAGUAAUAUCCUUCACAAUGGUAGCUGUAGUCCUGAUGUACAUUUACACCAGAAACAAAGUUUAUCUGGUCCUGUUGAUGAAAGUAAGUAUGGAUCUGAAGCAACUCAACAAUCAAGAUCAAUGGGCAAGUCAACUGAAGCGGCACGUGCUGCUUUGCUGUACUUUGAAGCAAUGCUCGGGACGUUGAAAAGAACAAAGGAAAGUAUUGGCCGAGCAACACGCAUAGCUAUUGACUGUGCAAAGUUUGGCAUUGCAGAUAAGGUCAUGGAAAUUCUUGCCCAUAAUCUUGAAACUGAAUCAAGUCUGCAUCGAAGGGUGGAUUUGUUUUUUCUUGUCGACUCUAUUGCACAGUUUUCUCGAGGUUUAAAAGGUGAUGUUUGUUUAGUAUAUUCAUCCUCUAUCCAAGCAGUCCUUCCUCGACUAUUAUCUGCUGCAGUUCCUCCUGGAAAUGCUGCACAAGAGAACCGUAGGCAAUGUCUUAAGGUUUUAAGGCUGUGGUUGGAGAGAAGAAUCCUACCGGAACCCAUGAUUCGCCACCAUAUCCGGGAAUUGGAUUUAUAUAGUUCAAUUUCUGCAGGUGUUUUUUCACGACGAUCAUUAAGAACGGAGAGGGCUUUGGACGACCCUAUUAGAGAAAUGGAGGGUAUGCAUGUUGACGAAUAUGGAAGCAACUCAAGUUUGCAGCUACCUGGGUUUUGCAUGCCCCGGAUGCUUAAAGAUGAAGAUGACAAUGAAGGGAGCGAUUCCGAUGAAGGGAAUUUUGAGGCUGUCACACCUGAGCAUAUUUCUGAAGCACAUGAAAUGACUUCUACAAUUGAUAAACACAGGCAUAUCUUGGAAGAUGUUGAUGGUGAGCUUGAAAUGGAAGAUGUGGCUCCCUCUCGUGAUGUUGAAAUGAAUUCAUUUUGCAAUGUUGAUAGAGGAAAUACCACAGCGCUUGAGAAGAAUCUUUCCCUGUCCUCUGCUCCUCUACCUCAGCUUGCACCUCAAUGUUCCGCACCACCAGCAUCAGCCCCACCACCACCUCCUCCACCACCACCUCCUCCUCCACCACUUCCCAUAACACGCCUUUCAAAUUCCUCGGAUCCAUGUCGUUCUGUAUUUAAUUCAACAGGUCAUACAGAAUCACAGUGUAUGAAAGACAACACACUUUGCCCUAUGGCUCAGCCCUCGGCUGCACCAAGUAGUAGCCAACCUAUUAGUGACUAUCAUGUCCCAGAAUAUAGAGAAAUGCACGUGCCCGAGUCUAACAGUUUCCCCGUACCACCUCCCAUAAAUUAUCGGCAUUCUGAUGGUGUUUCUAUGCAUAAUAGAGGGCAUUCUAUAAGGCCGCCUCGCCAUGUGCCGUCAAAUCAAUUUUCCUUUGUUCACGGGGAACAGCAUGUGAGACAUCGAAGGGAGGUUCCGCCACCUCCUCCUUACUCCAAUAGGCAACACUUUGUGGAAAACAUGGAGAGAGAGCACUUCUACCAUAAUAAUCAUGAAAGAUUUAAACCACCUCCAUAUGAUUACCGAGAGAGAUGGGAUGUUCCCCCACCUUAUCCUGGUCCUAUGUAUCAUGACGAAGAUAUGCCUUCCCCAUAUGGGUGUCAUCCAUGUGAACCACCUAGAAUACCAGAUCAUGGGUGGAGAUUUCCUCCCCGGUCAAUGAAUCACAGGAACAACAUGCCAUUUAGACCACCCUUUGAAGACGCAAUUCCAGUUACAAACAGAGGUUCAUCCCCCUUACACCACUAUUUUUCCUGUAUCAUGAUAACUCUAUUAGAUGAUCUUUUUGGACCCUUUGACUUAUGAAAUUACUGGAAAAUUAUGUUUGCAUGUCAGGUCCAAACUUUUGGCGGCCUAGGUGAUAGCAACCAAGGAUCCAAGUCUGGUAUAACGGCCUGAACUUUUGUUUAGGUGUUUAUGGUCCCAUCAUUCUGUACAUGCAGGACUCCUUUGAGGAUGAUUCAACAUAAUCUGCACAGGACAUGUGAAUGAUCUGCUAGAUUUGUUGUACAUAUGUAUUUAAGCCUGUUCUGCAAAAUGCAGGGCAGGAGUCAGUGUAGAGUUGUUGGAAAGGUGUAACUUUAACUUAGGUUGUGUCAAAAUUUUCGUCCGCUAAAUGUUAUAAUUUAUUUCAUGGAAGCCCUUAUAGAAUUUAGAUCAGUACAGUAUAUAUAAAUUUCAUUGGAUAUUUCCUGACAUUGUUCUCAAUAUAAGGAAAAACUUCUCUGCCAA